rnacentral:rRNA from 1 species
UACGUAGGGUGCAAGCGUUGUCCGGAAUUAUUGGGCGUAAAGAGCUCGUAGGCGGCCUGUCGCGUCGGCUGUGAAAACCCGAGGCUCAACCUCGGGCCUGCAGUCGAUACGGGCAGGCUAGAGUUCGGUAGGGGAGACUGGAAUUCCUGGUGUAGCGGUGAAAUGCGUAGAUAUCUGGAGGAAUACCGGUGGCGAAGGCGGCAUCCUGGACCGACAUUGACGCUGAGGAGCGAAAGCUAGGGGAGCAAACGGG